ensembl:lncRNA
UUUUUUUUUUUUCUUUUCAUGGUGGAGAGAGGUCUGAAUUAUAUUAGUAUUUGCUGCUUUUUGGAAUAAAUGAAAGGUUCCUGGGCUCUUCCAAUGAGGAAAAGACUUACUGGAGGCUCUUUUUCAUAUCUCGCUCAUUUUGGUUCUGGGCAGAAAGUGAUAGAUAUUGGAAGCCAACCUGGAAAAUCAUGGAAGGUCUUGCUGGAUGGAGAUGUCUCCACUGUAGAGUUAAGAUAGGUCUUCCUGAGGGACGGAGGGGGCAAUGGAUCUGGGAAGUCAUGAUUCUUUCUCCAGCAAGAGAUGUACCUGGAGAGUAUCGAUGUGCUUUCCUACUUUGCACUGCUUCUAAGGAGUCAAUAGCCCUCCUAGAUUGAUAGGUCUGGAGGUUCAUAGUGGACCCUCUUCAGGGCAGACAGGUCUGAGGAGUUUUGCUAUCACUCCUAGGAUGAGAAGGAUCUUGGGAAUAAUGACAGCAUUCCUAGGGAGAGAUGAAUCCAUGGAGUCAUGGCAAGAAUGCCUGUGGAAGGACAGGCCUUCAUUCUUGCUUCCAUGUCCUUGGUCCAAAAGGGCUCCAUCUGUGUCCCCACCCAUCUCAUAUCCACAGGAAAAUUUCAUCAUCAUCAUCUUCAUUUUCCAGUUUAGUGGUGAAGACAGAUCAUACCAUGGUCCACACACAUGAUGGUCCACAGCUUCCAUCUUCCUGCCACUGGCCCUGCCAUGCUUGCUACUGAAUCCGAAGCACUCAUCAGCACCAGUGACAAGUGACAUGUCAGAUGUGUGAUGGCUGAGAGUGGUAGAGUAGCCACCAGAGCAACAGCAUGUCAGGGUCUGUGACUUAGCGGGCAGGGAGGAGAAACCACAUCAACAGGUGCACCCUGUUUCUUGGGUCCCAGAUCAGCACUCUGAGGAAAACAUAGCAGGGAGAGGUCCACUCAAGGCCUCACAACUUUGGGAAACUCCUUAUUCAGGUCCUAAGGGGAUACUUCUAUUUUUUGCAAGCAAUUCAUGUAAUGGAAUUAAGCUUAGUCAUGUCUACAGUGUUUAUGCCCAACCAGCUAAGCCUGACUACAUCGGGGAAAUGCCCAAGUGGUUGACGAUGCUACUCACUCAAGGGAAAGGGUAUUUGUGUGAUGAAGGUUAAAGAUAAAAUGGUUUUCAGGGGUAAGGCCUGCUAAAACAAAACCUAGACAGAACCUGAGAGCUUCUUCACUGAUUAGUUAUAUUUUCAUUAUAUUCAAAACACCAUCUCCCUCAGUGGUGAUGGAUGUAGUUUCCCACUAUUUAAUAGUUGAUUUUUUCUGUGCUCUUCUCAUAUGAUCAACCUAAGCCAAACAAGGAAAAUUGCUUUUCCUCUUCCUUGUGAAGAAGGCAAUGUCAUGUCCUUACAUAAUGUUAGCAUUUGGAGACAACAUCUAUACAGUAUCUAAUUUCUCAAAGUGAGUAACUUUGUGAGUCUUCUAUAAAUGUACUGAAGAGAGAUGUGUGUUGGUGAUUAGAUCACCUCCCCUGUCUUCUUUAUUCAACCCACAGCUUGGAGUUGGAGCUCUGAGUGGAGCAGUGUGAAACUCUUCUCCAAGGAAUAAUAUAGCUCAAGGGGCUGUGGGAUGUGAGCACUCUUGACAGUAUCAGAAAUCUGCAGCUGGACAUCACACCCUGCCUCCACAGCCUGCCAGUAGAGUUAGGAAGGAGGGUGGUGACUGCCAACAACACCACUGGCAUCAGAGCAGCUAUUACAGAAGCACUUUUCCUAUAUCCUCUCCCUUCUCACCACACAAUGCAGUAGCUGGUCCUAAAUGAAUCAUUCUCCAGGGCCACAUUGUUCUGGGAAUGUAGAAGUAAACAAGCUAGAAUACAAUGACACUUGAAAAACUGAUCAAACAGAGGGACAACUUGAUCACGAGUUCCUCAAGGAUGGGUUCCUCAUCUGACUCAAUCUCAUCCCUGCUGACCAACGUACUGGAAGAUCAAUGGAUGGCUUCUGGGAAGUUGGUUAAACAGACUUCGAGGAUGACGGGAGCAAAGGGAGCUGCAGGAGGCAGUUCAGGCUGCCAGUAGACCCAGAGUCCUUG